GUGCUCACUUCAGCAGCACAUAUACUAAAAAUUGGAAUGAUACAGAGAAGAUUAGCAUGGCCCCUGAGCAAGGAUGACACACAAAUAUGUGAAGCGUUCCAUAUUUUU